GGCGCACGGGUGAGUAACACGUAGGUAAUCUACCCUCGAGUCCAGGAUAACCCGCCGAAAGGUGGGCUAAUACCGGAUAUGACCACGGGAGUCUCGGCUCCUGCGGUGAAAGGUGGCCUCUGCUUGCAAGCUACCGCUCGGAGAUGAGCCUGCGGGCCAUUAGCUAGUUGGUGAGGUAACGGCUCACCAAGGCGAUGAUGGCUAGCUGGUCUGAGAGGAUGGCCAGCCACACUGGGACUGAAACACGGCCCAGACUCCUACGGGAGGCAGCAGUGGGGGAUAUUGCGCAAUGGGCGAAAGCCUGACGCAGCGACGCCGCGUGGGUGAUGAAGGCCUUCGGGUCGUAAAGCCCUGUCGAGGGGAACGAAACGGUCUCGACCCAAUACGUCGAGGCCCUGACGGUACCCCUAAAGGAAGCACCGGCUAACUCUGUGCCAGCCGCCGCGG
rnacentral:rRNA from 1 species